CCUACGUGUGGCAGCAGUGAGGAAUAUUGGUCAAUGGACGAGAGUCUGAACCAGCCAAGUAGCGUGAAGGAUGACUGCCCUAUGGGUUGUAAACUUCUUUUAUAGGGGAAUAAAAUGUUCCACGUGUGGGAUUUUGUAUGUACCUUAUGAAUAAGGAUCGGCUAACUCCGUGCCAGCAGCCGCGGUAAUACGGAGGAUCCGAGCGUUAUCCGGAUUUAUUGGUUUUAAAGGGAGCGUAGGUGGCUUGUUAAGUCAGUUGUGAAAGUUUGCGGCUCAACCGUAAAAUUGCAGUUGAGACUGGCAGUCUUGAGUACAGUAGAGGUGGGCGGAAUUCGUGGUGUAGCCG
rnacentral:rRNA from 1 species